UUUCUCUCCUGAGAAGAGUUCAAAUGAUGUCAACUAUUGGGGUGUUCAUCUUCUGGCAGCAGAAAUAGGCCAUGAAGUCUCUCCGUGCUGGCCCUGGGGAGUGACUUCCCAAAGGAACUGAGGGGCAACCUUUGCAUCUGCUGAGAUUCCCUGCCAAAAUCACAGCCUCCGUGUCUUGUUUGGAUACCCAGCCUGAUUCCUGGGACUUUGUGUGGAAGGGGUUUUACAGCCACUUCUGUGAUCCAGAGAGAAGUUUGAUAAUUCAUGUUUAC
rnacentral:lncRNA from 1 species